rnacentral:rRNA from 1 species
AUCGAACGCUGGCGGCAGGCUUAACACAUGCAAGUCGAACGGGCUUCUUCAGAAGUCUGUGACUUAGCGGGGAAUAACACGAGGGAACAUGCCCGUCUGGUCAAAUUAACUCAUGGGAAACUUGAACUACUACCGGAUACUCCCUUUUGGGGAAAGGGUGACUGCACAAGGAUCGGCCACCGUCUGAUUACCUUGUUGGUGAGGUAACCGCCUACCAUUGCCACGAUCGUGAGCUGGUCUGACAGGAUGAUCACCCUCCCUGGGACUGAUACACGGACCACACUCCUACGGGAGGCUGAAAUGGGGAAUAUAGUACUAUGGGAGCAAGCCUGAUCCAACCUUGCCGCGUGAGUGAUGAACGCCUUAGGGUUGUAAAGCUCUUUUGUCCAGGACUAUAAUGACUGUACCACGAACAAUAAGCCACGGCUAACUUCAGUGCCAACACCCUCGGUAAUACAAAUGGGGCUAGCAUUGCUCGCAAUCACUGGGCGUAAAGGGCGCGUAGGCAGACGAUUAAUUCGGGGGUGAAAGCCUGUGGCUCAACCACAGAAUUGCCUUCGAUACUGGUUGGCUUGAAACCGGAAGAGGACAGCUCAACUGCGAGUGUAGAGGUGAAAUUCGUAGAUAUUCGCAAGAACACCAGUGGCGAAGGCGGCUGUCUGGUCCGGUUCUGACGCUGAGGCGCGAAAGCGUGGGGAGCAAACAGGAUUAGAUACCCUGGUAGUCCACGCCGUAAACGAUGAAUGCCAGCCGUUGGCCUGCUUGCAGGUCAGUGGCCCCACUAACGCAUUAAACAUUCCCCCUGGGGAGUACCGGCCCCAGAUUAAAACUCCAAGGAAUUGACGGGGGCCCCCCCAACCGGGGGAACAUGGGGUUUAAUUCCAAUCCACGCGCAAAACCUUCCCAUCCCUUGGCAUGGCAUGUUAGCUCGAGAAAUCGGGUGUCCUCUUGGGAGGUCGUGCACCCAGUGCUGCAUGGGUGUCCUCCACUCCUGGCUUGAGAUGGUGGGUUAAGUCCCGCAACGAGCGCCACCCACUUCCUUAUGUGCCCUCAUUCAGCCGGGCACUCUAGGGAGACUGCCGGUGAUAAGCCGCGAGGAAGGGGUGGAUGACAUCCAGUCCUCCUGGCCCCUUACGGGAGGGGCUACACACGUGUUCCAAGGGCGGUGCCAGAGGGAGGGGCAUCCGGGGGGCAGAGCAAAUCCCCAAAAGCCGUCUCAGUUCGGAUUGCAGUCUGCAACUCGGGUGCAUGAAGUCGGAAUCGCUAGUAAUCGUGGAUCAGCACGCCACGGUGAAUACGUUCCCGGGCCU